rnacentral:lncRNA from 1 species
AAUUUUAAGACUCUUCUUCAGGAAAAAGAGUAAACUAGAAAACCAAUAAUUAAGAGCUGUUAUUUGAAGGAAAAAACUGUCAGUGUUUCAGAGCUUCUUUCAUAGGUGAAAAUGUUUAGAAGGAAGUAUAUUUUUCAUCUCUCAUUUAGAUGCCUUAUUCACCUUAUGCUACUUCCUUGAAAGUGGAUUUCCAGCCAACCACUCAUCACCUGCUUUCCUAGCACUCUUUCCAGCAUUUCUAAACCUUGGCACUUUUCCAUUUCCAUAUUCUCACUUAAAAAAGUUACUUCUGUUGUUACAUAUCCAGAAUAAUAAUCUUUCUGAUACCAAACAGCAAUAUAUUUUCAGGAAUGGCUCUUUAACUGCUUAAAAAGCAACAGUUCAUUUUUCACCAUUGCUUUAAAAAAAUGUUUUGUUAUCAGGUCUUCAUGGUUAUUAUUUUUGGAACAUUCUAGAACACAAUAUUUUGGGUGCUCGUCUUUUUCUUUGAUGAUUCUUUGAGUAGUUUUAGAGUCUGAAAAACCCACAUUAAAAACUGCAGUUAAUGAAAUGGGGGAAAGCAAGACUGAGGGUAAAAAGCAGAGCAGGUGAGCUGAGAGGCCAAGAAACUGGGUGGUUUGGCAAAGUAGCUUGACAGCUGGAAAUUUCAAGACAAAUUAGGAGGAGCUCUGAGAUCUAGACAUGCAGUCUGCACUAAAUAUCUUUGUCUCCUGUUCUCCCACCCUAGAGAUGAGUAAUCUCCAGUGAUGUCAGUGGGCGUUAUCCCCAUGUCCUGAGGGGAAUAGAUUGGGCCCCUGUAGUAUACUCCGUCAAGCCGCAGUUCUCCCCCCAACAAAUGCACUCCUGGGAGAGCAAAUGGUAAAGAACACGACCAGCCUGAAGCUGAGUGACUGUGCUUUUGGCAGGGAGGUGCCAGCUGUCACUGGAAACAAGUCCAGGAUUUGUUGUGAGGAUCUUCCUAAGGAAAAUGGAUCUUUGAAAAGAUCCCAAGUGGAAGCAACAGAAAGAGAGAAUUUCAGACCUGACUCUCCCAGGACCUGAAGGUGAAGGGGACUGAACAUCAGCCCUGGCACAUGCAGAGUGACAUGCCAUAUAAAAAUUAAAUUAGGGAGGGCUCAGAGCAGCCCACUGCUCUCUCUUUUUCACUGAAUGAUCUUCUUAGUUGUCCUGCUGUCGCCCUGAAAACUCAGCUUCUGAGCUUGCUGACAUGGUUUUCUAAGGACUUUCCCAGGACAGUAACUGUAAACAUAGAUAUGUGUACAUUCUUUCUUUUACACG